UUAUGCGAAUAUACAAUAUCGGCCCAACUUCCAUUGGCCUUUUCAGGCCUGUCGCAUGAGGCCCACAAUCAAAACUAGGCCCUCACCGGAGCCCAAAAUUUGGAGUUCCUACCCCUCGAUGGCGGAGACCUCCGCGCCUGCCGCCGCGCAUCCCAGCGUCCCCAGCGCCGCCGCAGCCCACCGUCGUCGGAGGCCGAAUCCGACGUCCUCGCUGCGAUGCAGCGCGGCGGUGCCUGACGCGGCUUCCCGCCUCCUUCAAGCGACACGGCGUCGCAAUCGGGGUGCAACCCGAUUCGGCUGCCUCCGCGCCGCCGAUGCCGCGCGCCGGCGGAUGGGACUCCGUACGGCGACGCCAGGGGACGCCGGCUCCUGUUUCUCUCUGACACGGGAUGAGCUGGGCUCGUAGGUUAUAUGUCUUGAUGUCUAUGCCAUCAAUCUCUAUAGCCCCCACAAGAGGGUCAUAGAACCGCUCGAUAAGCCCAAUGAUGGUUGACUUGCCAGAACCACUUUGCCCAACAAGAGCUGUUGACUUACCUGGCUGGAUGCUCAAGGAGAAUCCUUUGAAGAUGAUCACAUCUGGCCUUGAUGGAUACACAAAAUCAAUUUCUCUAAUGUCCACCUUGCCUUCGAGAUUCUCUGGUUUGUAUCCCUCAGGGUUGUCGGGGUCAAUUUCUGUCUCUCUAUCAAUAAUAGAAAAAAGUGAAGUGACUGAAUCAGCACCCUUGGCAAGGUCUGUUGUCAUACUACCUGCAUCUGCUAUCACACGUCCUGUGCUUAUCAAAAUCAAGAAGGUUUGAAAUAGGGCCUUGGAAGUAAGGUGGUGCUGAGCCAUGAGUAUUCCACCAUACCAAAAGGUGAGGGCCCAUACGCAUCUCAAAAUGCUCAUGGAGGUACCGAGCCCCAGACCAGCAAACCAGGACUGCCUGAUACUUUCCUUGCGAGGGCCUACCUGUGCUUGGUCAAAGAGGCGUAGGAUGCGGUCUUGGGAUGAGAAAGCAGUUACUGUGCGAAGAUUAGCGACUGCCUCAACAGCUAGCUUGCUACAUUCAGAUUGUGCCUGUAAUGAUUUCUUGGACAUGCUCUUUAGUAAGAUACGACGAGUAUAAAAGCAAACAAUGACAAUUGGUUGCACAAAAAUCAUCACUAGUGCCAAACGCCAAGCAAUUGCGAGACUCAUGAUGCAGGCAAUUAGCACUGAAGAAGCUGUUUGGAUGACAAGGGACAUUCUAUCACCAAUGAGCGAUCUCACCUACAAGAAAAAUAUGGUCAAGAAUUAUUCUUCUCAGAUUUUUAAUAAAUGUUGUUUCAGUAUUUGAACUUACAACGUUGGCAUCCUGGGCAAGUUGUGAGCAUAUGGCACCACUAGAGUUCUUAUCACUGUCGAACCACCCAAUCUCAAAAGUUAGAAUUUUUGAAAUCAUCCGUUCUCUUAUCCUUUUGGUGAGAUAUUCCCCCAUGACACCGAAGUUGUGGUGUUGUGCAAUAUUCAUCAGGAAUGAAAACAAUGCAAGACCAACAAAGAACAGUGAGUAGAUUCUGGUUUGAUCCUUCAUCUCUUCAUGAUCCGUCAAGAAGUAGAUUGAGACCAUGCUCCCCAUGGCGUAUGCGUACGUGGGUUGUAUGCCUCCAACCACAAUUGCACUAAAGCUUCCCAUCAGUGCUUGCUUCCACUCGGGUUUAUUAAGCAUCAAUAGCCUUAUGAAGGAUGGCACAGGAAGCUUUAACGGCUCUGUUUUGUUGUCAUUACCUUCAUCAUUACCCAUGGAUAGUGUUAUGAUUGAUCCGCUUGCUGUGGAUAUCCUCUUGCUCAUACCAUGGCUGCUUGAUUGCCGCAUAAGAGAUGUACUUCUUGUUCCAUCAACCUCUUCAGAAUCUGUUGACUCUUUGGUCUGUUGAAGGAGGACAAGAGAUGAGUAGAGUCCAUUCUCAUUGGCAAUGAGCUCAUAAUGGGAUCCCAGCUCCUUGACCUCACCGGACUGCAUGACCGCAAUCGUAUUUGCAUUUUGGAUGGUGGAUAGGCGAUGGGCAAUGACAAUUGUAGUUCGACCCAUGGAGGCCAGUUCAAGCGCCUCCUGGACAACAUGCUCUGAAUUAGUGUCCAAUGCACUGGUGGCUUCAUCAAGGAGAAGGAUCUUGGGUGACUUUAUGAUUGCUCUAGCAAUAGCAAUCCUUUGCUUCUGUCCUCCGGACAUUUGGACACCAUGCUCACCCACCUGUUUUAGUUAUAUACAUGGUUAGUGUCCAAGUAUGAGUAGCAUUUUAUAUUUUUAGAAGAAGAUAUCUAGUUUCAAGAUCAUUGGUUUUGUGAAUGUAAAUCAAACAAUUAUCAUGUACAGGUAGCUAACACUUUUGGUUGUA